rnacentral:rRNA from 1 species
GGACCCGCACAAGUAGUGGAGCAUGUGGUUUAAUUCGAAGAUACGCGCAGAACCUUACCAACACUUGACAUGUUCGUCGCGACUUUAAGAGAUUAAAGUUUUCGGUUCGGCCGGACGAAACACAGGUGCUGCAUGGCUGUCGUCAGCUCGUGUCGUGAGAUGUUCGGUUAAGUCCGGCAACGAGCGCAACCCACAUCCCUAGUUGCCAGCAGUUCGGCUGGGCACUCUAUGGAAACUGCCCGUGAUAAGCGGGAGGAAGGUGUGGAUGACGUCAAGUCCUCAUGGCCCUUACGGGUUGGGCUACACACGUGCUACAAUGGUAGUGACAAUGGGUUAAUCCCAAAAAGCUAUCUCAGUUCGGAUUGUCGUCUGCAACUCGACGGCAUG